UGAAGAAGGCCUUCGGGUUGUAAAGCCCUUUUGUUGGGAAAGAAAUCCAGCCGGCUAAUACCUGGUUGGGAUGACGGUACCCAAAGAAUAAGCACCGGCUAACUUCGUGCCAGCAGCCGCGGUAAUACGAAGGGUGCAAGCGUUACUCGGAAUUACUGGGCGUAAAGCGUGCGUA
rnacentral:rRNA from 1 species